rnacentral:rRNA from 1 species
AGUGGCGGACGGGUGAGUAACGCGUGAGAAUCUGCCUUGGGGUCGGGGACAACCACUGGAAACGGUGGCUAAUACCGGAUAAGCCGAUUGGUGAAAGAUUUAUUGCCUGGAGAUGAGCUCGCGUCUGAUUAGCUAGUUGGUAAGGUAAAAGCUUACCAAGGCAACGAUCAGUAGCUGGUCUGAGAGGAUGAGCAGCCACACUGGGACUGAGACACGGCCCAGACUCCUACGGGAGGCAGCAGUGGGGAAUUUUCCGCAAUGGGCGAAAGCCUGACGGAGCAAGACCGCGUGGGGGAGGAAGGCUCUAGGGUUGUAAACCCCUUUUCUUUGGGAAGAACAAAAUGACGGUACCAAAGGAAUCAGCCUCGGCUAACUCCGUGCCAGCAGCCGCGGUAAUACGGAGGAGGCAAGCGUUAUCCGGAAUGAUUGGGCGUAAAGCGUCCGCAGGUGGCAAUGUAAGUCUGCUGUCAAAACCCAGGGCUCAACUCUGGUCAGGCAGUGGAAACUACAUAGCUAGAGUUCGGUAGGGGCAAAGGGAAUUCCCGGUGUAGCGGUGAAAUGCGUAGAGAUCGGGAAGAACAUCGGUGGCGAAAGCGCUUUGCUAGACCGAAACUGACACUCAGGGACGAAAGCUAGGGGAGCGAAUGGGAUUAGAUACCCC